rnacentral:hammerhead_ribozyme from 1 species
AUCCAGCUGACGAGUCCCAAGUUGGACAGCCGAAAUGCGCAUCCUGGAU